AGAAUCAACGCUGGCGGCGUGCCUCAGACAUGCAAGUCGAACGAUUAAAGCUCUCUUCGGAGAGUGUAUAGAGUGGCGCACGGGUGAGUAACACGUAAGUAAUCUACCUUUGAGUGGGGAAUAACGUCCGGAAACGGACGCUAAUACCGCAUAAUGCAGCGGCAUCGCAAGAUGACAGUUGUUAAAGAUUUAUCGCUUGAAGAGGAGCUUGCGGCAGAUUAGCUUGUUGGUAAGGUAACGGCUUACCAAGGCUACGAUCUGUAACCGGUCUAAGAGGACGGUCGGUCACACUGACACUGAAUAACGGGUCAGACUCCUACGGGAGGCAGCAGUCGGGAAUUUUGGGCAAUGGGCGAAAGCCUGACCCAGCAACGCCGCGUGAAGGAUGAAGUAUUUCGGUAUGUAAAACUUCGAAAGAAUGGAAGAAUACAAUGACGUACCAUUUAUAGGUCCGGACUAACUACGUGCCAGCAGCCGC
rnacentral:rRNA from 1 species